CCGACCUUAGCUCAGUUGGUAGAGCGGAGGACUGUAGUGUGAUUGCUGUAAUCCUUAGGUCGCUGGUUCGAAUCCGGCAGGUCGGA
rnacentral:tRNA from 2 species